rnacentral:piRNA from 1 species
AUGGGUUUCUGAAUAAAAUUUGU